AGACCGAUAGCGAACAAGUACCGUGAGGGAAAGAUGAAAAGCACUUUGGAAAGAGAGUUAAACAGUACGUGAAAUUGUCGAAAGGGAAGCGCUUGAAGUUAGACAUGCUUGCCGGGAUUCAGCCUUGCUUUUGCUUGGUGCAUUUCCCGGUGUGCAGGCCAGCAUCAGUUUUGUUUGCCGGAUAAGGGUGAGAGGAAUGUGGCCCCUCGGGGUGUUAUAGCCUCUCACUGGAUACGGCGGAUGGGACUGAGGACCGCAGUGUGCCUUUAUGGCGGGCCUUCGGGCACCUUCACACUUAGGAUGCUGGCGUAAUGGCUUUAAGCGACCCGUCUUGAAACACGGACCAAG
rnacentral:rRNA from 1 species